AGCGAACGCUGGCGGCAGGCUUAACACAUGCAAGUCGAGCGGGCACUUCGGUGUCAGCGGCGGACGGGUGAGUAACACGUGGGAACGUACCCUUUGGUUCGGAAUAACGCUGGGAAACUAGCGCUAAUACCGGAUACGCCCUUUUGGGGAAAGGCUUGCUGCCGAAGGAUCGGCCCGCGUCUGAUUAGCUAGUUGGUGGGGUAAUGGCCUACCAAGGCGACGAUCAGUAGCUGGUCUGAGAGGAUGAUCAGCCAAACUGGGACUGAGACACGGCCCAGACUCCUACGGGAGGCAGCAGUGGGGAAUAUUGGACAAUGGGCGCAAGCCUGAUCCAGCCAUGCCGCGGGAGUGAUGAAGGCCUUAGGGUUGUAAAGCUCUUUUGUCCGGGACGAUAAUGACGGUACCGGAAGAAUAAGCCCCGGCUAACUUCGU
rnacentral:rRNA from 1 species